GCCGCCUUGGCUUAGUGGUAAAGCGUAUCACUAGUACGCCUUGGGCAAUCAAGGCCUCGAAAUGAUAAGAUCGCUAGUUCGAUUCUGGCAGGUGGCU